CUUAGCUCAGCUGGUAGAGCAACUGACUCUUAAUCAGUGGGUCCCGGGUUCGAAUCCCUGA
rnacentral:tRNA from 2 species